GGUGGCUGAGCGCUGGAGUGCAGAAUGAUGCUAUUUAACAAGGUUGGUGAAACCUAUGAUAGGUUUUAAGUUUAACCCUUAAUAGAGAGGGAAAUUGAAAGUCAGUGAGUGCUCAGACGGGCAAGGUUUUUGUUUAAAGGGAAACCUGUUACAAUAUUGUUUCUUUAGUUGUGUUGCUGUCUCCUGUGUGGAUUUACCAAUAAAGUGCCUGGAUUAUAUUAAAACCAAAGGACUGUGCAUGUUGUUUACCCUAGAGGACCAUGCUAACU